rnacentral:rRNA from 1 species
CAGUCGCCGCGGUAAUACGUAGGGUGCGAGCGUUAAUCGGAUUUACUGGGCGUAAAGCGUGCGCAGGCGGCCCGUUAAGACAGGUGUGAAAUCCCUGGGCUCAACCUAGGAAUUGCGCUUGUGACUGGCGGGCUCGAGUACGGUAGAGGGGGGUGGAAUUCCUGGUGUAGCAGUGAAAUGCGUAGAGAUCAGGAGGAACACCGAUGGCAAAGGCAGCCCCCUGGGCCUGUACUGACGCUCAUGCACGAAAGCGUGGGGAGCAAACAGGAUUAGAUACCCGGGUAGUCCCUGUCUCUUAUAC